UGUUGAAAACAAACCCGGGGCAGUUGUUGUUGACAUGUCGCAAAUACAUAACCAGAGAUCAGACACUCAAACGGCUGAACAGCUUCUCAUACGCGGUUUUUGAACAGAAAGCCGGGACACGCCAUUAAGCUAAACAUGGAGUUAUCUCCGCUUAUAAAGAAAAUAGGUCACUCUUUAGUGGAAAUUAGAGUUCGAGCGUUGAAGAGCAUCUUAAGUAAGCUGGACCAUUCCCUCAUCACGAUAACUGACAUUGUUCAAGAAAAAAUGCUGUUCGUGCAUCUGCUUGAAUGGUUCAAUUUCCCGGAGGUGCCAAUGAAGGAGGAAGUCCUUGGAUUGCUUUUAACUUUAGCAAAGCAUCCUAGUUCAGCCCAGAUGCUGAGGGACGUCGGGGCGGUGGACUUUCUCUCUCAGCUUUCUCCUACAAUUGAGCCCAGACUGCGAGCUGUCAUCGAUGGAACCCUGGACCAGCUGUUCCAGCUUCCUGAGCUACUCCCCAGUCAUUCAGCUGUCUACUCUCAUGGAGCGUGCAGCACAACUACAACAGCUCCAACAAUUGUUUCAGUUGACGAUAAUGUGCCUAAAAUGGGUUAUUUCCACAAGAGUAUGCAUUGCAGCACAAAUGUACCACCUCAGAAGAUAGCAGUACGUGAGUCUGUGAGAUGUCUGAAAUUUUCUGUAUUUCCAUGGCUGACUUUGACAAACACAGACCGACACAUACUUUCUUCCAAUGAGAGCUCUCUGGGGAGCAGCAAUCCUAACAUGGUGAGGACAACCUGUGAACUUCUCUGUGACGUCAUCAUGCAGGACUUUCCAGCAGAGAUCUUCCUGCAAAGGCCUGGAACUGUUAAGAACCUUUUGUUACUGCUCAGGCUGGGUUCAGGUAAAGGUGAGGUCAGCUACCACCACUCAUCUGCCCUGUCCUGCCUGCGGCAGCUUUGUGUGGGACUGAAGAGGAGACUGCGCUUCCAUCAGGAUCCAGGCUUCUACUCAGCAAAGCAGGAUCCAGUGUCCCAGAACUCGUCCUUCUCUCACACCCAGGAGGUCAGGGGGAACCAGCAUUCACAGGCCUCUUCUCCUGCGGCUGAAUGCUCUUCGCGGCCCUCUGUGGUGGGUCGCACAGGCCAGAGAGCCAGGGGAGAUGGUCAGGAUGGAGAUGCAGCCUCUGACAGUGGCAGCUCACACAGGGGUUGGGCAACAGUCCAGGCCCCCGAACAGACGUCCCGUACCCCUGCAGAUGCAGCUCACAUGGAGCUUCUGGACCUGAGCGUGAAAGAUGUACUGGAGCUUCAGUUGCAGCAGCUCAGCGUGGCCCAGUUUGCUGUUGCCACCAUGCAGCAUGCUAUACCUCUGCUGAAGACAGAAGCUUUGCAUGCGUUCCACCGUGUUCUGGAGCUGUUGUGUGAUGCUCUCCUCCUGCUCAGGGAGAGUGUUUGCGAGCUGGUCUGGGACGAUCUCAGCCUGGUGGGGAUGGAGCUGAAGGAGAAUCUGCAAGCCUGUAUGGAGCAACUGGGGGAUAUACUCAGCUUUCACCAGAGCCAUUCGGCAGAUGUUCCUCACAGUUCUCUGGUUAACCAUAGAAUGGCCUACAUAGGGACUGCGAUAUUUACCAUCAAACUCUUACAGGCAAUCCUCCCUCCAGAGAAGGCUGGUGAAAAUCUCCCUGAAAGAACAGCAGCUGCCAUUUUCCAUUUAUGUUUGGACUCCUCACUGGGAAGUUUAUUACCCAGCAUGCAAGAGACAGCUGUGGCCUACUUGGAGCAGGUGAACUCAGACAGCCACGACAUCUACAGGAGGGUGAACAGAGCUGCGCUUUGGAUGGAAUCAACUUGCAACUUCGUAAAGGAGGCACAAGCUGAAGGUGAAAGGAACUGGUUGGACCUACUGGAACUUGCAGACCAAGCCAUAGAUGGUCUUCCAUUUCAUCAGCAUCUACCCAUCAUCAAGGAAUGUGUACACAUGUGCUCUUACUUGUGGAAGUUUGACCAGCCCAGCCCCCUCCUCCAGACUGAGAGUCAGAAACUCUUCCUCAAGCUGCUGUCCCAUCCCUCACCGCCUGUCAAAACGGAAACAUAUGAGUGUACUUUAAACCUGGUCAAGGACUGCCUUGGCAUCCAGAAUCUGUCAAGAGAGAAAGCAGCAGCAUCAGCGGCUGUUAACUUCCUUCUCCACCACAAGGUUCUGUAUGAAAUAAGUGCUUUUGGACUGCAGGACUCUGCAGAAAAGGUGAAUGUUGCUGCCAAGGAUAUCCUGCUAUUUCUCCUCAAGGGACGAUUAAUGAUGACAGCGCCAGCCUGGGACAGAUUCAAUGAGGCACUUUACCCGGUCAUACCCAUAAUACAGGGCUAUGCCAGCACUGAGGAGUCACUUGGAAAGUGUGUCCUGCUGAUAAGUGACAUGUCGGAUGUGACAAGAGACAACGUUUUCCCCACUACAGGCAAGCUGAAAGCAGCGCUCCGACUCUUCUUCUCUAAACAGCCCACUGUCAGAAUAGCCGCAGUGCAACACAUCCUGCCCCACCUAACUAGCAGUGGUGACGCAAAACCCACCAGAAUAGAGACAGAUCAAUCGGUGAUCGCGGCCCUUCCCAACAUCUUCUGCCUCAGAAACCCUGUAGACAUCACACUCGACACCAGCAAUAAGUCCAUCCUAAAGGUAGAGUCAGUGGAGAAGCUGUUUUGGAUCCUGAACUCAGACACUGUAGAUAUCUCUCUCAGAAGAUCGGCAGCAGAGCAGCUUUCUGUCGUGCUGCAAGACACAACAAUGCAUCCUGUACUGAAGAUUCUUGGCAUCACAGAGAAAGUCAUUUCUUUCAUCACAGAAAGCGUAAAUGGCUACAAGAGCUUGGACUGUCUUCUGGAGCCGUGUGCAUGCAUCUUGAGAAAACUGGUGUACGCUGAUCCGUCUCUGAGGCACAGCCUGGCGCAACACCACCUCCUGCUCCUCUCACUGCUCAGGGCUGCAUUGAUAUUGAAGGAAAUCAAAGGCAACGGAAAGGAGGUGGCUGUCCUCAUGUGCCUCCUGCUUUUCGAUGAGAUCGCCUGCAUUGAAACAUGGUCAGAUAAACCCACCACAGAUGUGACCCUCUCACCAUUUUCUCUGCCAGUAACAGCAGUAUGGAGGUACAACAUUCCCUUCCAGGCAGUGACUCAUCACGCCGUCAGCCCGUACUGCUGCGUCUUGGCUCCUUCUUCUGACCUUUUGACCCUGAGCCCUGCCCGCCAAGCCUUGCAGGUGGCCUGGAAUGCUGCAUGGCAUUCUGGGAUAGAUCAUCUCCUGGAUGAACUAGACAGUGUUGCUAAUGAUGCUGAUCAAUUUCACCCUGACUUGAAGCUAUCGGAGUCACAGCUCUCGUUGCUUCGGGCAGCGCACCUUCCUGCUGCGCUGCGUGACUGCAUCCAGGCCAUUGUGAAUGCAGCUGGGCACAAAUCGGUGGCCCCUGCCCUGUCCAGGCUCAGCCUCUACUUGUUGUUUAACAGACUGGCUCUCCCUCACGUUCCCACCCACAGCUGCAGAGACAUUCUUCAGUCCAUCAGCUGGCAGGCAGUGUUGACCAGGUUUCUCCAGGUGCGCCCAGCCUGUGUUGAGGAUGAAAGGUUGCUGGUGGGAAUUGUGACAUUUUUGAAUGCCUACUUCAAACAAAUUCCCACAGAGUGUGCCUCUGACCAGGAGGACAAAGACCUACGCUGGAUACUGGAGCUCCUUCUCAACCAGGAGACUGCUGCUCUUCUUCAUUUGCUUCUUGGUGUGGAGACGCAGAGCUUGGCUAAGAGUUUAGAGGAUCCUGAGAAGAUGAAGAACCGUAUCAGCCAGAGACUGCAGAGAGAACUCACCAACUUCUUUAAGACCCUACUGAUCAGACUGUCAAGUACCACUGACAGGCUAUGUUUGGCAUUGGCGGGUCCCUUUAAGAGCCAGCUGGCACUGCGCUUGCUUCAGAGCUUGCGGGUGUCUGAUGCCCCGCGUUUCUAUGGCCUUCCCAGCCUAGAGAGGGCACUGCAGGGCAUGGUCAGCCUGACUGCCCAGCCUGGCUGGAGCUCCCACUGCCCUGACCUGGAGCCCAGCUCCCUCUGCUCCAAAUAUCUUAGUGGAUUAUUAGAGGUGAUCUCUUCAUUUUAUGUUGAGUGGAGAGGGAACUCCUUGUCUUUCAUGGGGAAAGGUGUGACCAAGAAUGCUAUUAUUUGCUUGCUUCACCUGUCCCAUGAGAUGAUGACAGAAAACAAGGAUAAGGACUUGAUAAACCAGUGGUCAUUUGGGUCAGACGGAACUACAGAGGACGUUAGUGGCUCCCAGCUUGGUUUGGCUUGGCUUGUCCCGCUUUGGGUGGACCGAGAUCAAGAGGUGAGGUUUGCCAGUCUGAGUUUAGGCGCUGCUCUCUCCUCCAUGCCCAGUGGCUGCCAGGCUCUGUGUGCCAGCUGUCAGAACAUCAGCGGAGGUCUGUGGGGCACGCUGCUCAACAUCCUGCUGGAUCAAGAGGAGAGCAGCAUGGUUCGCAGAGAGGCUGCGUUUAUCUUGCAGAACUUGUUGGUGAUGCCUAUGCCUGCCAAUGCAGAGGAGGCCAAGGACUCCCACUGGCAGCACCCACGUGUCCAUGAUGAGGUAUCUGGUGUGUCUUUGGUGGGUCUUCCAGCGCUGCAGGCUCUGCUGUACCACUGUCAGUACUUCCACAAUGUGGCUCUCUCUGCCUCGACUUGCUACCGUGGCAGGUACGCUUUUGACCUGCAGCCACGGCCUUGUGGGAGCGGUAAUCCCAGUCUUCAGCAAAGCUCGUUAGCUGAUUCAGGUAAUUCUCUACUGGUUUGGAGAUGUGACCCUGCACCUAGUAUCACCUCUGGGAGAAGUUCCAGCUCUCUUUCCACAUCAAGCACUGCAGUCAGCAAUGCUGCAAGUGAAGGUACAAGGCUGAACACUCCUAGAGUUCUUUCCCCGGUGAACAUCCCAGAUGAUUCACCUGCCAGACUGAUGGCUCAAGGUCAGAGUGAUGGAGACACAAGCAACUCGACUGCCUCGCAGGACUCCCAGCAAGAUGAGCCCUCAGGCGUGGAAGCUGUUGUCAUGGUGACUCCUGACCUCCUGACGGCCCAGUGCGGCCUGCUGUACAAUCUGCUGGCCAUCCUGCCAGACUUCACCCUCACUGCGAUCCAACAUAACCAGCUACUGAAGGUUCUGAGCAGUUUAGUAGAUAUGGAGCUCAUGGAGAAAUGUCUGACCGAGCUGAGGACACCCAGCAUCCUUCCUGGAAUCAGAGAAGACAUCAAACGCCAGUUUGUCACCGAACUUCGGUUCCUAUCGAGCUUUUCCACACUGCUGCGCUCCUGUGUUUUGGCGAGCAAGGAGCUGAUUGGCAAGAUGGACUUCCUGAAGCAGCUGUCAUCUAACCUGGUGGAUGCACUCAUGCUGGAUACAAAAUUAUUAGACGCAGGUACGUGGGAUGUGGUUUGCUUGUGCUGGACAGACGUGUUUAUGCUUCUGACUACUCUGGUGAGGAGAGGCGACUCAGCGGCUCACCCAUCUGUCUCUGCCGUGCUGGCCAGACGCUGGCGGACAUUUGCAGGAACAUUAUCUCAGUGUCUGGAUGAGAAAAAGGCAGAUUUCCAGCUCCACACAGCGGCUCUGCAGUUCCUCUCCACGGUUUUCAGGGAGGAGACAAAGUUAUGCGGCAAAGAACUCAAAAGAACAACAUCCAAGCACAGCAGCACUUUGUCAGAUAUCCUAAAUGCUCCUUCUGCCAGUGAGCUAUGUGAACUGUUAUUGCAGAGCUUUGAAAAAAGGACCCUUCAGGACCCUCUAAAGAAGCUCACAGCUAGAGCUCUGAUGACUCUUCUGGCCUGCAGUCCAACAGCUCAGAGCUACGCAGCCAAAGCUGGUUUAAUUGACAGUUGUGUGGAGCAGCUGAAGCAGACUCAUUCCCACCUCCACCUAGAGUCCGUCCGACCCGGAAAGGCUUCUCGCCGCAAGAAGGAAGUGGGCUAUUUAAAAGAAGUCAAGCUGACUGCGGCGAUCCUGCGGAGCGCUCUUUAUUGCAGCGAUGAAUGCAAAGUGGUUGCUAUGGAUGCUCGUUUAACCCUGACGCUCUCUGCUCUAUGGCCUUGGCUCCUAUUGGAUGACCCGACUAUGGAAGCAGUGCUGGAGCUCCUGUGUGUCUAUACAGCCAACUUCCAUCCAGCAUGCAGUUCCCUCUGUGGCAGCAGCCCCAGUGGGGUACCAGGAUCCAAAGGCUCCUCCAACACCUCUUUGAUGCACUCGGUCAUGAAGCUGUCCUCUCUCGCUCCAGAUAACAGCCCCGUCCACAAUCUGUCCUUCUCUCUCCUGACUAACUUGGCUGUGUCGCGGGACUGUAGGUGCAUCUUGCAAAAGAGUAAUUUCCUUCAAGCCUUCCUGUUAGCACCAGUCCCUAAGGUGGCUGGUGCUAAGGCCGCACCGGCAGGAGGUGGGGGUGGGAACCCCCUGACCCUGUGGCUGAGACUCCUGGUCAGCCUAUCCUCCACAGGAGAUGGGCAGCAGAGUAUUCUGAAAGUGUCCGGAGUCCUGGAACUGCUGGCAGACUUGGCACCGCAGCGAAAACAUGCGUUGCUCACCCUUCACAACCUCUGCUUCUGCCCUGCCAAUAAAUCUCAUGUCAUGGCUAAUGAUAAAGCCAUGAAGGUUUUGUUAUCGUGUUUGGAAAGUAAAGAGAUGGAAACCUGCUGUAUGGGAGCAUCUGCACUGUGGGCAUUGCUCCACAACAAUCAGAGGGUGAGGGGAGGACUGCACUGAAGUGUCCAUCUGUUCGGUUAAAAAUCGAGGAGGCACUGACCAUCUAUAAGAAAGGUGCAGAGAAGAAACAGGAACCUUUGAGUUCCUAUCUGCAGAAGUGCCUCGAUCACCUUUCCCAGCUGCUAAACAGUUGAAUAAUAGAUAUUUUUUUGUAUAGUUUUGAAUCAUGUUUUGUUACCUAUCAGAUAUGUCAUUUAGAUAUUAAAGUGACUUCAGCAUU